rnacentral:piRNA from 1 species
UGGGAGUUUGAUCUUACAGUGCAUAUCAUC